UGAAUUUGGCAUAGGUACUGGGGUGAAACAGGAAUGGAUUACGCUCCUGGUCCCCCUCAAUUAUGCUGUAUAUUGGAUCAGGCAGCCAACUUCAACUGAUCAUCUGGGCAUUGCAGUCAGUCCUCGGGACAGCACCACCACCUCCACCUACGCCAAUGAAGAAUAAUGAAUGUGAUUUCAAAGGGAGUGUGAGCAGCUGGGGAUAGCAUCAUUGCCAGCAAGAUCAACUGGACUGCCUGCACACAUAAAGCCUAAACACCAGAAAGACCAGCAAAAAAGAAAAGAAAACCCAUUCCAAUCACAGAGGACUGAGUGAAGAAAGCAUUGCUGAAAGGUGCAUGCCCAUGAUUCCUAUAAGGCUUCGAAAUAAAACUCUAAGAUAUUGUCUUCAAAGAAAAUACUGACAUGAAGUCUCUCCUAUACUUCUGACUGUAUGCUGAGAGAUCCACAUCUAUUCUCCAAUGAUCCCUGACAUUAUCUCCAAUCUUAACAGGUAGACCAGGUGGCCCAAAUCAGUUAAUGGGGAUCACAAGACUGACAGAAGCUGGAAUGCUUGAUAAGGAGAGAAAAACCCUACGCCAAAUAGAUGAAGACAACCACAGGAGCAGAGAAAGAGCUCAGCUCAGCUCCAUCUUCCUGAUCUCCGAAUGCUGUGAUGAAUGACCUGCAUCAUUUCAUCUCCCAGUGUCGUGAUGAAUGGGAAUGCUAAGCCUUGCAGUUGACUCCGACUUCUCCCACCUGCACUGUGACCUGUAACUUUUUUGGUUUUGAGUGAAAGCUUCUUUCCUUGCCAGAAAGUGCUUGCUAUUUGUGAAAGAAUAUGUAAAACAGCGCCAGGUGAAGAACGACUUUUUCACCCAGUCCUGAAACCAUCACAAAGAGACAAAUUUUGCAGCUUUUACUUUGUGUGUGAAUUUUUUUUCCACACAGCUCUAUUCAUUGCCUGAAACAAUGGGGCCAGUGUUGGCCAGCAAAGAAUAGUGCUAUUCAUAUGCCCUGUACCCUGCACAGUGCCUACACUUGUUAGUCUUGGCUGCCCUGCUCCGCUGGCUGCUGGCAAGAAAGUCGGGUCUAUGUUGUUGGAUGGAGCAGGCAGAUCAGAGGAUGAAUGCUGGCAGCCAGAUUCGCAGAUAAACCUUAGCUCUGCUAGAAAACUCUUGUUGACAUAAGCCUGUGCUUUGAGGGGUGUCUUGGAAUUCCAAGCACUUGCGCCAGGUGUGAGGGCAGGUGGUAGCAGUCUCGUUCCAUCCAUCCUCGACCUCCCGCCACAGCAAUGAAGCUUCAUUUAGGGUUCAAUGCGUGCCUCAGGAAUCAGACACCCAACUUUCAAUUAGGGCUCUAAAGGGGAUCGACUGAUAGAAGGAUCUUGAACAGAUCUCAAGCUCCCACAGUCUCAUUCUUUUCCUUCGUUAGACAAGGCAUGAUACAGUACCAACCACCUCACUGGACAUCAUGAAAUUCAAUAACAUCGUCCUGUGCUGUGAUUAACAAGGAAUAAUUGGUAGCUAUUCCUGUCAGUAAUGAAAGACUGUUGGGGCAGUAACACUGGCCUAGCCUAUUUUCUGUCUGGGUAUAAGCCAACCACUGUGAAAUGGUAGGCUUACCACUAUAGUGAUGGGUAGAUGUGGGGGAAAGGCAAGGCCAGCUUCUCUGUGGAGACCUAGAAUGUUGUCCACAGGGCAGAAGGUGUCCACUAGUAGCAGCCACUCUGUUUCUCAAGGCCCCUAUGAAAGACUGGUCAGCUUGUGUGUGUGGCACUGUCCCAGAAGUCCACACAAUAAAUAGCUGCUAGUGGGGAUCUGUAGGGCCUCUUCAGUUCUCUGCCACCUUGAGUGAACAGAAUAAAACCUACAGCC